AGAGUUUGAUCCUGGCUCAGAGCGAACGCUGGCGGCAUGCUUAACACAUGCAAGUCGCACGGUCAGCAAUGGCAGUGGCGGACGGGUGAGUAACACGUAGGAAUCUAUCCUGGGGUGGGGGAUAACAGUGGGAAACUACUGCUAAUACCGCAUGAUACCUGAGGGUCAAAGGCGCAAGUCGCCUUAGGAGGAGCCUGCGU
rnacentral:rRNA from 1 species